rnacentral:rRNA from 1 species
GAGGAACACGUAAGAAUCUGCCCCUCGGUCGGGGACAACUCUUGGAAACGAGAGCUAAUACCCGAUACGCUGUGGAGUGAAAGAAUUUCGCCGAGGGAUGAUCUUGCGUCUGAUUAGCUAGUUGGUGUGGUAAUGGCACACCAAGGCGACGAUCAGUAGCUGGUCUGAGAGGAUGGACAGCCACAUUGGAACUGAGACACGGUCCAAACUCCUACGGGAGGCAGCAGUGGGGAAUUUUCCGCAAUGGACGCAAGUCUGACGGAGCGACGCUGCGUGAAGGAUGACGGCCCGCGGGUUGUAAACUUCUUUUCUCGAAGAAGAAACAAAUGACGGUAUUCGAGGAAUAAGCAUCGGCUAACUCCGUG